UACGUAGGUGGCAAGCGUUUGUCCGGAUUUACUGGGCGUAAAGGGCGUGCAGGCGGUCUGUUUAGUCUAGGGUGAAAGCUCCCGGCUCAACUGGGAGAGGUCCUUGGAUACUGGCGACCUUGAGGCCGGAAGAGGUUAGUGGAAUUCCCAGUGUAGAGGUGAAAAUUCGUAGAUAUUGGGAAGAACACCAGUGGCGAAGGCGGCUAACUGGUCCGGAUCUGACGCUGAGGUGCGAAAAGCGUGGGGAGCAAACAGGG
rnacentral:rRNA from 1 species